GACGUAGGGCGCGAGCGUUGUCCGGAUUUAUUGGGCGUAAGGAGCUCGUAGGCGGCUUGUCGCGUCGACUGUGAAAACCCGCGGCUCAACUGCGGGCUUGCAGUCGAUACGGGCAGGCUAGAGUUCGGUAGGGGAGACUGGAAUUCCUGGUGUAGCGGUGAAAUGCGCAGAUAUCGGGAGGAACACCAAUGGCGAAGGCAGCUCGCUGGGACGGUACUGACGCUGAGACGCGAAAGCGUGGGGAGCAAACAGG
rnacentral:rRNA from 1 species